rnacentral:rRNA from 1 species
UGGGGAAUAUUGCGCAAUGGGCGAAACCCUGACCCAGCAACGCCGCGUGAAGGAUGAAGUAUUUCGGUAUGUAAACUUCGAAAGAAUAGGAAGAAUAAAUGACGGUACUAUUUAUAAGGUCCGGCUAACUACGUGCCAGCAGCCGCGGUAAUACGUAGGGACCAAGCGUUGUUCGGAUUUACUGGGCGUAAAGGGCGCGUAGGCGGCAUGACAAGUCACUUGUGAAAUCUCUGGGCUUAACCCAGAACGGCCAAGUGAUACUGUCGCGCUAGAGUGCAGAAGGGGCAAUCGGAAUUCUUGGUGUAGCGGUGAAAUGCGUAGAUAUCAAGAGGAACACCUGAGGUGAAGACGGGUUGCUGGGCUGACACUGACGCUGAGGCGCGAAAGCCAGGGGAGCAAACGGGAUUAGAUACCCCAGUAGUCCCUGAGCGGGCUGGCAAGGCGCAU